AACGAACGCUGGCGGCAUGCCUAACACAUGCAAGUCGAACGAGACCUUCGGGUCUGGUGGCGCACGGGUGCGUAACGCGUGGGAACCUGCCUUUAGGUUCGGAAUAACUCAGAGAAAUUUGAGCUAAUACCGGAUAAUGUCUUCGGACCAAAGAUUUAUCGCCUUUAGAUGGGCCCGCGUUGGAUUAGCUAGUUGGUGGGGUAAAGGCCUACCAAGGCGACGAUCCAUAGCUGGUCUGAGAGGAUGAUCAGCCACACUGGGACUGAGACACGGCCCAGACUCCUACGGGAGGCAGCAGUGGGGAAUAUUGGGACAAAUGGGCGGAAAGACCUGAUCCAGCAAUGCCGCGUGAGUGAUGAAGGCCUUAGGGUUGUAAAGCACUUUAAAGUUGGGUAGGAAGGGUAGUAACCUAAUACGUUGCUAC
rnacentral:rRNA from 1 species